UGCGUAGGCGAGGCAAUUAGUCAGUGGUGAAAUCCUGCGGCUUAACCGUAGAACUGCCAUUGAUACUGUUGCCCUUGAGUAUAGUUGAGGUGGGCGGAAUGUGUAAUGUAGCGGUGAAAUGCAUAGAGAUUACACAGAACACCAAUUGCGAAGGCAGCUCACUAAGCUAUAACUGACGCUGAGGCACGAAAGCGUGGGGAGCGAACAGGAUUAGAUACCCUGGUAGUCC
rnacentral:rRNA from 1 species